rnacentral:rRNA from 1 species
CCUACGGGGGGCAGCAGUGGGGAAUUUUGGACAAUGGGGGCAACCCUGAUCCAGCCAUGCCGCGUGCGGGAAGAAGGCCUUCGGGUUGUAAACCGCUUUUGUCAGGGAAGAAAUCUUCCGAGCUAAUACCUUGGGAGGAUGACGGUACCUGAAGAAUAAGCACCGGCUAACUACGUGCCAGCAGCCGCGGUAAUACGUAGGGUGCAAACGUUAAUCGGAGUGACUGGGCGCGGGUCUUGAAGACGCGUGUGAAAUCCCCGGGCUUAACCUGGGAACUGCACUUGUGACUGUACGGCUGGAGUACGGCAGAGGGGGAUGGAAUUCCGCGUGUAGCAGUGAAAUGCGUAGAUAUGCGGAGGAACACCGAUGGCGAAGGCAGUCCCCUGGGCCUGUACUGACGCUCAUGCACGAAAGCGUGGGGAGCAAACAGGAUUAGAUACCCUAGUAGUC